CAAGACAUGAAGUUAGGUCAGCAAACCCGCUGAAUUUAAGCAUAUAAGUAAGCGGAGGAUAAGAAACUAAAUAGGAUUCCCUCAGUAAUGGCGAAUGAACAGGGAAAAGCUCAGCAUGGAAAUUGGGGCCUCUGGCCUUGAAUUGUAGUCUUGAGAUGGCAUUGCCAGUGGAGGCGCAGAUGUAAGCCUAUUGGAAAAUAGCAUCAAUGAGGGUGAGAGUCCCGUUUGUCAUCUGCAGUCCCCCAUGCACGGUGUGCUUUCUAAGAGUCACGUUCCUUGGGAUUGGAGCGCAAAUUGGGUGGUAAAUUUCAUCUAAAGCUAAAUAUUGGUUCGAGACCGAUAGCAAACAAGUACCAUGAGGGAAAGGUGAAAAGGACUUUGAAAAGAGAGUUAAAAGUGCCUGAAAUUGCUGAAAGGGAAGCGAAUGGAACCAGUCUUCUUGGUGAGAUUGUUGCACGCUAUGGUGAUUGCCUGCUGCUUCAACGCAAGUGUUGCAGUGGGUUUUGAUCUUGACGUGUGCUUUGUUUCUUACCUCGUGUGUCAACGUCGGUUCGGAAUUGAGGAAAACUCUAGGGACAUGGUAACUCGGCUUCGGCUGUGUGAAUGUGCCUGGUAGAACUCAUUUCUUAACUGAUUUCUGCAUGUCUGGUCGCAGUGUUUCAUUACCUGUGUCUGGUUCUGCGCUUGUAGCUUCUGCUGCUUGUUGUGGUUCUGGGCCUGGUCGUGGAGCAUCUCCCUGACAUUAGUACGAUGACAAAAUGGUUUCAUUCGACCCGUCUUGAAACACGGACCAAGGAGUCUAACAUAUGUGCAAGUUCAUGGGUGUUAAACCUAAUUGCGCAAUGAAAGUGACUGCUGGGAUAUUUGCACCAGCAACCGACCAAUCAAUUGUGAGAGGUUUGAGUAUGAGCAUAUCUGUUAGGACCCGAAAGAUGGUGAACUAUGCGUGAGAAGGGUGAAGUCAGGGGAAACUCUGAUGGAGGCUCGUAGCGAUACUGACGUGCAAAUCGUUCGUCAUACUUGCGUAUAGGGGCGAAAGACUAAUCGAACCAUCUAGUAGCUGGUUCCCUCCGA
rnacentral:rRNA from 1 species